rnacentral:lncRNA from 1 species
GUGACAGUUAGCAUCUUUGUCUUGUUCCAGUUCUCAAGGGGAAUGCUUCUAGCUUUUGCUCAUUCAAUAUGAUGUUAGCUGUGGGUUCGUGACAGACAGCUCUUAUUAUUUUGAGGACUGUUGCGGAGGGAAGUAAGUGAAUGUGUCCAAAACACUUGGAAGUUUGCCUGGAAUCCAGUGUGUGCUAUACCAGAGUCCUAGUUAGGCGUGGCCUUGAACAGCCCUGAGAAUGAACAUCUGAGAAGCGUCAAUGUGGGAUGCCCUGAGAUGCAAUUAAGAGGAGGAAGGAAACCAUGGUUCUAUUUUAACAUGCCAGCACCAUGUAAAAGCAAGACCAACCCUCUCCUUUCUCCUGUUCCUCAGACUACUCAAUGUGAAGAUGAUGAGGAUGAAGACCUUUAUAAUGAUCCACUUCCACUUAAUGAAUAGUAAGUAUGUUUUCUCUUCUUCAUGAUUCUCUGAAUAACAUUUUCUUUUCUCUAGCUUUCUUUAUUACAAGAAUACAGUAUACAAUACACAUAUCAUACAAAUAUGUGUUAAUUGACUGUUAAUGUCCUCAGUAAGGCUUCUGGUC